CCUGAAAGAUGAUACAUUAAAUUAAACUUUGACCCUCCAACUGUACCACUGCAUUCAGAUGCAUGGAGAGAGACUUGGACUGAUCAUAAUUUAGUUUUUGUAGAAAAAGCUAACCUGUGAAGUACUGUUAGAAAACUAAACUAAAUUAAUUAUGUAUUGAACUGAGAUGAAAUAUGUAAUACCUCUCUUUUUACCCUCUUCCAAAACAGAAGCUCACUCUUCUUCCUCAUUCCUUCCACUCUCCUCUGCAACUCCAAACUCUCUUCCAUUCCCUCUCUCUGUGCUGCCAUCUCACCAUUUCCUUUUUCCUACUCAGAUUCUGGAAGAACCAACCAGCAGGAACCUCCGCAGCUUCCUCCCUCAAACCUUCAUUCCCCAAGGUUAAGCUAAAACUCUGCUGUCUUGUAAAUCUGCUUGAGUCCACCAGUUAAAGUCUUGGCAAAAAGAUAAAAGUGUAGGUGAAGGUACACCCUUCCCGGACCGACGUUGAGUGAGUUCCCAGACGUUUCCCAGCUGUAGUAGCCACUUGUUUCUCUAGUAAAUGUUUAGGAUGUUUCGUAACCUUCAGUGAUGUGGGCUGUACAUAUUGAUCAGUGUAUGCACUUCUUUUGGAUGACUGUACUAGUUAUGCUGACCUAUGUCAUUAACUGCUUCUGAAUUAUUGAAAUUUAAAUGUUUCGCUUAAUAGUUUA